rnacentral:rRNA from 1 species
CCUUAGGGUUUCCUCUGGGGUAAGUGAUUGCUUCUACACUGUGAAAAUUUGGCUGAGAGACUCAGACUGGUCAUGGGUAGACCUAUCUGGGGUUUGAUCGAUGCCACUCCUGGUUUCAGGAGCACCCUUCAUAAUAAACCUAGAAAUUCAGUAUUAUAAAGUUUAAUAAAAAACAACUUUUAACAAUGGAUCUCUUGGUUCUCGCAUCGAUGAAGAACGUAGCAAAGUGCGAUAACUAGUGUGAAUUGCAUAUUCAGUGAAUCAUCGAGUCUUUGAACGCAGCUUGCACUCUAUGGUUUUUCUAUAGAGUACGCCUGCUUCAGUAUCAUCACAAACCCACACAUAACAUUUGUUUAUGUGGUAAUGGGUCGCAUCGCUGUUUUAUUACAGUGAGCACCUAAAAUGUGUGUGAUUUUCUGUCUGGCUUGCUAGGCAGGAAUAUUACGCUGGUCUCAGGAUCUUUUUCUUUGGUUCGCCCAGGAAGUAAAGUACAAGAGUAUAAUCCAGCAACUUUCAAACUAUGAUCUGAAGUCAGGUGGGAUUACCCGCUGAACUUAAGCAUAUCAAUA